rnacentral:rRNA from 1 species
AUGGCGAGCAAGGAGACAAACGCAUGGAGCAGAUGUGUGUGGCGAGCCGCUCAUGGCCGAUGCAGCGGCUGUCUCUACUGCUGGGUUCCAGUGCUACCCCGCCAGUCACUGUUGCCCCAUGUUGGGUGUUCCAGAGCUUCAAUGUUUUCAGUUCGUAGUUUGGAUGCUUUUCAGCUCAUCUACUUUCCAAUCAAAAGUCUGAUCAUCUUUGUGUUUCCAUAUUCUGCACAAGAAUCAUUACACAUGCUGGUAUCUCAUCUCUUAGAUUUUUAUUUUUUCAGGAUGCAGCCAAAACCAGAUGUAGCAGUUACAAAAAGGGUGAAAUUGGAGGAUCUACAUUAUUCUUGUUGGACGUUUAGAAAACAAGCAAAAUUUUGA